CUCCUACGGGAGGCAGCAGUAAGGAAUAUUGGUCAAUGGACGCAAGUCUGAACCAGCCAUGCCGCGUGGAGGAUGAAGGCCCUCUGGGUUGUAAACUUCUUUUAUCUGGGAAGAAACCACUCUUUUCUAAGGGUGUUGACGGUACCAGUUGAAUAAGCACCGGCUAACUCCGUGCCAGCAGCCGCGGUAAUAC
rnacentral:rRNA from 1 species